GCCAGGUGUGAUGUCACCUUAGUCCCAGCUAUUCUGGAGGCUGAGGCAGGAGGAUCGCUCGAGCCCAGGAGUUCUGGGCUGUAGUGUGCUAUGCCAAUUGUGUGUUCACACUCAGUUCAGCAUCAAUAUGGUGACUUCCUGGGAGCAAGGGACCACUAGGUUGCCUAAGGAGGGGUAAACCAGCCCAGGUCAGAAAUGGAACAGGUCAAAACUCCUGUGCUGAUUAGUAGUGGGAUCACACCUGUGAAUAGCCACUGCACUCCAGCCUGGGCAACUUCAUGAGAUCCCAUCUCU
rnacentral:SRP_RNA from 1 species